rnacentral:rRNA from 1 species
GAAUUCUCCCUUGGAUCCAGACUUUGAUUCUGGCUCAGGAUGAACGCUAGCUACAGGCUUAACACAUGCAAGUCGAGGGGAAACGAUAGAGAAAGCUUGCUUUCUCUAGGCGUCGACCGGCGCACGGGUGAGUAACGCGUAUCCAACCUGCCCAUCACUUGGGGAUAACCUUGCGAAAGUAAGACUAAUACCCAAUGACGUCCAUAGAAGACAUCUGAAAUGGAUUAAAGAUUUAUCGGUGAUGGAUGGGGAUGCGUCUGAUUAGCUUGUUGGCGGGGUAACGGCCCACCAAGGCGACGAUCAGUAGGGGUUCUGAGAGGAAGGUCCCCCACAUUGGAACUGAGACACGGUCCAAACUCCUACGGGAGGCAGCAGUGAGGAAUAUUGGUCAAUGGGCGAGAGCCUGAACCAGCCAAGUAGCGUGCAGGAUGACGGCCCUAUGGGUUGUAAACUGCUUUUAUAAGGGAAUAAAGUGAGUCUCGUGAGACUUUUUGCAUGUACCAUAUGAAUAAGGACCGGCUAAUUCCGUGCCAGCAGCCGCGGUAAUACGGAAGGUCCGGGCGUUAUCCGGAUUUAUUGGGUUUAAAGGGAGCGUAGGCCGGAGAUUAAGCGUGUUGUGAAAUCUAGAUGCUCAACGUCUGCACUGCAGCGCGAACUGGUUUCCUUGAGUACGCACAAAGUGGGCGGAAUUCGUGGUGUAGCGGUGAAAUGCUUAGAUAUCACGAAGAACUCCGAUUGCGAAGGCAGCUCACUGGAGCGCAACUGACGCUGAAGCUCGAAAGUGCGGGUAUCGAACAGGAUUAGAUACCCUGGUAGUCCGCACGGUAAACGAUGGAUGCCCGCUGUUGGUCUGAAUAGGUCAGCGGCCAAGCGAAAGCAUUAAGCAUCCCACCUGGGGAGUACGCCGGCAACGGUGCAACUCAAAGGAAUUGACGG